GACGAACGCUGGCGGCGUGCUUAACACAUGCAAGUCGAACGGAAAGGCCCUGCUUUUGCGGGGUGCUCGUGUGGCGAAGGGGUGAGAAACACGCGAGUAUCCCGCACUUGUCUUUGGGAUAACUUCAGGAAACUGGGGCUCUUAUCGGAUAUGAGCUUCUGCUGCACGGUGGGGGAUGGUAAGAUACGGCGGUUGGGGAUGGACUCGCGGCUUAUCAGCUUGUUGGUGUGGUAGUGGCUUACAAAGCCUUUGACGGAUAGCCGGCCUGAGAGGGGUACCGGCGACAAUGGGACUGAGGUACGGCGCAGAAGCCUACGGGACGCAGCAGUGGGGAGUAUUGCACAACGGGCGGGAGCCAGAUACAGCAACGCCGCGAGCGGGAUGAUCGGCUACUAGUGAUAAACCGCUGUCUCCGGUGACGAGGCGUGCGUGACGGUAAUGGGUAAGGAAGCACCGGCUAACUACGUG
rnacentral:rRNA from 1 species